rnacentral:lncRNA from 1 species
ACCUCUAGCCAGGGACGCGCGCUCGGUCCCCCGCCGUGCGCCCCCGGUCCCGCGCCCAGGCUCCCGCCCCUGGCCUCCUUACCAGCCACUUGUCGCCCAGCUGCGAACUGGAGCGGGAGGCGGCGGCCGGAGGGCCCAGGACAGCCCCGGGAGGGCGGCGAGGCGGAGCAGGAGCGCCCCGGCUCCGGCCACAUUCUCAGAGUCAGGAAAAGGGGCGAGAGGCCACAUGUCUCCCUCUCGCCCAACUGAAAACGAAACGGCGCUCCAGCAGAUUGGGUGGAAAGAGCUGGGUCUCUUUUCUCUGUUUUUCACGCUAGAAAGGGCUUGUAAACAUUGUUCCUUUUAAAAUGACCUACCCCAGGCAUUUGUUUGGGCACACUUCUGUCCUGGGGUCAUCGUUCCUAGGUGGCUUCGGACCUGGGACUUUUCCUGUAUCUGCACAUUGUCGUUUUAUACACAAUUGCCAAGGUGGGACUGCUUUCAACUUUACUGUGCUUGAAGCUGCAAAGGUUCUGCCCUGAUGUUUCCUGGAAUAAUGCUGAGGACUGCCUUUCGGGUAGCCGCCCUAUUCAGUUCACUUCAUCUCGGAAAUACCUGACCCCUGCCUUGGAUCCAGCGGCCCUCCUGAGAGCUGAGGAAGGAGGAAAUCCUAUGUGUCUGCUCCCGGAGCUGCCACAACCCAUCUUCCCACAACUCGGAACUUGGAAAAAGGAACCCAGGACACGACUUUGCUUUUCUUUUGGACCUAGUUGAUACAAGUUAACAGGAUAUGCUUCUGGCCUGUUUCUGGAUUCUAAGGGUAGAACCAGCAUAAAACUAGUCAGUCCAAGUAUUUCUAAAGAUCCACAGACACAGUUCUCCUGGAUUUGGGAAGCCUAGAGAUAUUAGCACAAUAAUUAAGGCCCAAAGGCAGCACAUAAGAGAGGGAAAGCCAUGCGCGUGGAGUCCAGCACAUCACCCAGAAGGCAGAUGUUCUAUCUCCAUUUUACUCAUUAAAACAAACAAAACCACACCUGGAUUGCCUGCAACUUUUAAAAGCCUUUCCACUGCACAGUGAAAGAAAACCACAAACUCCUUGUUUAAUAAGUGGGAUCACGUGCUUUUAACACGAGGAAAAGGUCAAUCUGAAGCAACUGAUAUGGAACUGCCAGAGUAGGAGUUGAAAAUCUUCCUAAACUGCUGGAGGAUACACCUCUGAUAGCUUGAGACAAAUAUCCUCUUGAUCAUUGUUUCACCAUAUUUGUCUUUGCUCAUGGAGAACCAUUUUGAUCCGUGGUUUAGCCUCCCAGGUGAUUGAACAAUACCGGUGAUCUGAGGCAGACCCUCUGUGACGGAUAACAGAAAAGAAAAUUGAGGAUCAGAAAAUACGCACAAUUUGCAAAAACCAUGGGAAAGAAUAUUGAUUGAACAUCUACUCAAGAACUGCAAAACAGAGAUUACCUGACCUAAAGCAUUUAUAUUGCCAAUCAUGUUGGAGAGUCCAUGUGGUGAUUUCUGAAAACGAGAUGUGAGAAAGAAGAGGAUAAUUUAAGUCUAGACCUACAGAUUGUGCUGAUAAAGUGAUGAAGAACUACAAUCUUCUUAGUCAUUUCAUUGUAUAAGUGCAAUAAAGGAUUUUGUGUCUUUCCUGGCAAACAACUUGUGACCACAGUGAUGGCUCCAGCAGAAUGGAAAAGACCCUUUACCUCACAUCUCAGAAGUAAAGAUGCUGAUUAUUUGACAUCGCCAUUGGAAUCUCAAAACAGUGUAAAGCAUUUGCUAAAAAGAGUCACUUUCUGAGAAAUGACUCAGAAUUCGACUUACGUACUAGCAGAACUUAUUGCCCAUAAAAGGAAAGGCCACACUUUUUGUGAAAACUUAAUAAUCCCUAGGAUGUAAAAUUAUACUGAGUUAAAUCCUAGUCCCAUUUUUAGUACAAGAAACUGGAAAAAAAUAAUCCACUCUCAAAUGGUAAGACAAAUUGAGAUAUUGCUGAAAAGCCUCUUGACCCUGAAAAGUUCUGAAUAAUAAACUGAUAAAAGCAGCAGCAGCAUCUAACUUGACACCAGUCAUGUCAUUUG